rnacentral:rRNA from 1 species
GAUGAACGCUGGCGGCGUGCCUAAUACAUGCAAGUCGAGCGAACAGAUGAGGAGCUUGCUCCUCUGACGUUAGCGGCGGACGGGUGAGUAACACGUGGAUAACCUACCUAUAAGACUGGGAUAACUUCGGGAAACCGGAGCUAAUACCGGACAAUAUAUUGAACCGCAUGGUUCAAUAGUGAAAGACGGUUUUGCUGUCACUUAUAGAUGGAUCCGCGCCGCAUUAGCUAGUUGGUAAGGUAACGGCUUACCAAGGCAACGAUGCGUAGCCGACCUGAGAGGGUGAUCGGCCACACUGGACCUGAGCCAGGUUCCAGACUCCUACGGAAGGCAGCGGUAGGGAAUCUUCCGCAAUGGGCGAAAGCCUGACGAAGCAACGCCACGUGAGUGAUGAAGGUCUUCGGAUCGUAAAACUCUGUUAUUGGGGAAAAACAAAUGUGUAAGUAACUAUGCACGUCUGGACGGUACCAAAUCAGAAAGCCACGGCUAACUACGU